GACUCACUAGCUCAAUUGGCAGAGCAACUGACUCUUAAUCAGUAGGUUCGCGGUUCGAUUCCGCGGUGGGUCACCA
rnacentral:tRNA from 1 species